rnacentral:rRNA from 1 species
CCUACGGGUGGCAGCAGUGGGGAAUAUUGCACAAUGGGGGGAACCCUGAUGCAGCGACGCCGCGUGAGUGAAGAAGUUUUUCGGUAUGUAAAGCUCUAUUAGCAGGGAAGAAGAUGACGGUACCUGACUAUGAAGCCCCGGCUAACUACGUGCCAGCAGCCGCGGGAAUACGUAGGGGGCAAGCGUUAGCCGGAUUUAAUGGGCGUAAAGGGAGCGUAGACGGCAGGGCAAGUCUGGAGUGAAAGCCCGGGGCCCAACCCCGGGACCGCUUUGGAAACUGCCAGGCUAGAGUGCUGGAGAGGUAAGCGGAAUGCCUAGUGUAGCGGUGAAAUGCGUAGAUAUUGGGAAGAACACCAGUGGCGAAGGCGGCUUACUGGACAGUAACUGACGUUGAGGCUCGAAAGCGUGGGGAGCAAACAGGAUUAGAUACCCGUGUAGUC